rnacentral:rRNA from 1 species
GAUGAACGCUGGCGGCGUGCCUAAUACAUGCAAGUCGAGCGAACGGACGAGAAGCUUGCUUCUCUGAUGUUAGCGGCGGACGGGUGAGUAACACGUGGAUAACCUACCUAUAAGACUGGGAUAACUUAGGGAAACCGGAGCUAAUACCGGAUAAUAUUUUGAACCGCAUGGUUCAAAAGUGAAAGACGGUCUUGCUGUCACUUAUAGAUGGAUCCGCGCUGCAUUAGCUAGUUGGUAAGGUAACGGCUUACCAAGGCAACGAUGCAUAGCCGACCUGGAAGGGUGAUCGGCCACACUGGAACUGAGACACGGUCCCGACUCCUACGGGAGGCCGCAGUAGGGAAUCUUCCGCAAUGGGCGAAAGCCUGACGGAGCAACGCCGCGUGAGUGAUGAAGGUCUUCGGAUCGUAAAACUCUGUUAUUAGGGAAGAACAUAUGUGUAAGUAACUGUGCACAUCUUGACGGUACCUAAUCAGAAAGCCACGGCUAACUACGUG